rnacentral:tRNA from 1 species
CAAAGUAUAGCUAGGGAGUAAGCGUCUCUUUUACACAGAGUUAAGGUUCGUGCAAUUCGAACUAUUUUGA